CGCGCCCCCGGCUCCGGUACCCCCAGCCUGGCACACUGGAGCCUCGCCAGGUUGGGGCAGGGAGCGAGUAUACAGGGUCUGCUGUGCGUGCUGGGGUCCCCGGGGUACAUCCGUCCGGAGGACUUGCUCCCAGAGGGUCUCACAGCGCAGUGCGGGGGUCCUCAAACUACAGCCUCCCCCACUUUUUAUAGGUUUUUAAAACAGGUAAAAUCCACAUGGCAUAAAAUUCACCAUUUAGCCGUUUUAGCUACUCAAGGAUCCACCAUAGAAUCGUCGCUCAACAAAAGCUUGCUGAGCUCCUCAAUCAAGUUCAGCAGCAGCAGCCCCGCGGCCAAGUGUGUACCCGGAAGAACCGAAAACAAGUGUUCAGACAGAGGCCUGGACACAGAUGUCCACAGCAGCACUAUUCACAACUGUCAAAAGGCGGAAGACACCUCAAAUGCCCUUCUGGGGGACGUAUAUGAAAUGUCCCGCCGGCCGAUGAGGUGUACCCAGACUGCUCGGCCCCCGUAAGAACGGACACGUGACCCCUGCCACCUCCUGGAUGAACCUGGAAAGCGCAAAGCGUGACACGGGCCACGUGGUGUGUGGUUCCACGUCUAUGACACUAUCCGUCCAGAACCGGCCAAGCCACGCGGACACAGAGAGCUGAGUGGUGGUUACCAGGGGCUGGGAGGAGAAAAUGCCCUUCUGGCCGUCACGUACCUGAUGUCCACUUCUGUGCUGCAGGAGUGACAGUAACACUUGGGUGGUUGACGAGGAAGUGAACCGGAAACAGAGAAAGAAACAGGAGGGGUGAGGUCCUUUCUCUUGCCUGGAUAGGACAUGCACAGGAUGGAACACCCAGUACGAUGGGCAAUAGAAGUGGUGACCCGGAAAGCCGUCCAUUCACGAGCUGGGGGCUGGGAAAUCUGUCACGAUGUCCGCAUCGAACAGGUUGUUCCCUUUUGUGGGUUCGAGCCCCACAUCGGACUCUGUGCUGACGGCUCAGAGCCUGGAGCCUGCUUCGGAUUCUGUGUCUCCCUCCCUCUCUGCCCAUCCCCUGCUCAUGCUCUGUCUCUCUCUGUCUCUCGCUCUCAAGACUAAAUAAACAUUAAAAAAAAAAAAAUGUUCCCUGUGUGGUUUUAAACUAUUUUGUGGCAGUGUUCCUAGAAGUGGUUUUCUUUAUAUUCAUUCCCUUUGGCAUUCUCAGAGCUUUUAAAAUCUGUUGCUUGAUGGUUAUUUUUUUUAUCAGGACGCAAAAUUCUUAGCCAUUAACUCUUGAGCUAUCACUUCAGCUUCAUUAUUUCUUGCUUUUCCUUCUUAA